UACGUAGGGGGCUAGCGUUGUCCGGAAUCAUUGGGCGUAAAGCGCGUGUAAGCGGUUCGGUAAGUCCGCUGUGAAAGUCGGGGGCUCAACCCUCGGAUGCCGGUGGAUACUGUCGGGCUUGAGUACGGAAGAGGCGAGUGGAAUUCCUGGUGUAGCGGUGAAAUGCGCAGAUAUCAGGAGGAACACCAAUUGCGAAGGCAGCUCGCUGGGACGUUACUGACGCUGAGACGCGAAAGCGUGGGGAGCAAACAGG
rnacentral:rRNA from 1 species